UCAGUCGACUCCUACGGGAGGCAGCAGUGGGGAAUAUUGCACAAUGGGGGAAACCCUGAUGCAGCCAUGCCGCGUGUGUGAAGAAGGCCUUCGGGUUGUAAAGCACUUUCAGUAGGGAGGAAGGUAGUGUAGUUAACACCUGCACUAUUUGACGUUACCUACAGAAGAAGCACCGGCUAACUCCGUGCCAGCAGCCGCGGUAAUACGGAGGGUGCGAGCGUUAAUCGGAAUUACUGGGCGUAAAGCGCAUGCAGGCGGCCUGUUAAGUCAGAUGUGAAAGCCCCGGGGCUUAACCUCGGAAUUGCAUUUGAAACUGGCAGGCUAGAGUCUUGUAGAGGGGGUAGAAUUUCAGGUGUAGCGGUGAAAUGCGUAGAGAUCUGAAGGAAUACCAGUGGCGAAGGCGGCCCCCUGGACAAAGACUGACGCUCAGAUGCGAAAGCGUGGGGAGCAAACAGGAUUAGAUACCCUGGAG
rnacentral:rRNA from 1 species